CAUUGGAUGGAAGAACAAACAGGCAGACAAAGUCUUUGAUUAAAAUUAUUUUAAAAUUGCCUCUCUAAAAAAAAUAACCAGAUGAAAAUCACACAGCAUAUAAAUAUUGUACAAAUUACCCAUAAUGUGUACAAGUUUUAGUUUUAAUACUUGAACAGUAAAAUGUUUGAUUGCAGAAAAAAAGAAAUGCAUAUACAACUGCAAAUAACCUAUUGAACUAUACAAUGAAACAAGCAAUAAAUAAUAAUCUUUUUUAAUAAAAUAUUAACAAGUCCAUCCUUUAAAUCCUUCUUGAUCUAUUAAACAAGGUAGUUUUAACAUGGGUAAAUGUGGGGCAAAGAUGACUUCUAAGUCUCUAACACAUGUUUCAAAUCCACCAAUCACCAAAUUGUUUAUGAAAUGUUUUGGAAUUGUCACAUGCUGGUUAGUUCUAGUCAAGGUUAUCCUAGUAGUCACUUGAUUGGACCAUGUAAGACCCAGGGAUGGAAUAUGCUUUCUGUGCCUGUCUUUAACAUCCAUUGAAUCUGUUA
rnacentral:lncRNA from 1 species